CCUACGGGCGGCAGCAGUGGGGAAUAUUGGGCAAUGGGCGCAAGCCUGACCCAGCAACGCCGCGUGAAGGAAGAAGGCUUUCGGGUUGUAAACUUCUUUUCUGAGGGACGAAGAAAGUGACGGUACCUCAGGACUAAGCCACGGCUAACUACGUGCCAGCAGCCGCGGUAAUACGUAGGCGGCAAGCGUUCUCCGGAUUUAUUGGGUGUAAAGGGAGCGUAGGCGGUAAUGCAAGUCUGGAGUGAAAGGCGGGGGCCCAACCCCCGGACUGCUGUGGAAACUGUGUAACUGGAGUGCAGGAGAGGCAGGCGGAAUUCCUAGUGUAGCGGUGAAAUGCGUAGAUAGUAGGAGGAACACCAGUGGCGAAGGCGGCCUGCUGGACUGUAACCGACGUUGAGGCUCGAAAGCGUGGGGAGCAAACAGGAUUAGAUACCCCUGUAGUC
rnacentral:rRNA from 1 species